AUCUCCCAUCAACUUAAGUAAAUUUAGCUGGUCUAAAAAAUCUUGUCUAAGAAAAAUAAUAAUGAAUAAAUAAAAUUACCCCUAGGCUAAUUAUGGAAUGUGUUUUAAUAAUCACAAUCAACGUAAUAACAAUCAGUUAUAUCACCCAGCUCUAGUUUUUGCAUUUAUUUAAAUGUGAUGAAGUGCUCAUUGUAUGCAGACUUGUUUGAGGAAGGCCUAUUGCUGUUUCAGCAUGGCGAUGCCCUGUGCAUGAAGCAAGGUCCUUAAAAAAAUUGUUUGCCGAGUUUUGUGUGGAAGAACAUGACUGGCCUGCACAGAGCCCUGACCUCAAUGCUUGAUUCCUGGGUGGUGCAAUUGCAGUUGUUUCUUGAGCAAUACAAUCAACUUGAAAUUAUGAAACAGGAUUGAGACAAAGGUAAAUCACCUUUUGAUUGUUGUUCCUUGGACCUGGAUGGGAAUUUGUUCUGGAUCUUCUUGAUGAACUCAACCAGAAGUUCAGUGCCUUGACAGUUGUGCUGCUCGCUAUUCCACUGUCCCUCUGGUGUGUGGAACUGCUCGUCAGCCUAGGAAAUAUUAAGGUUUUUAAUUCUCUAUUUAAAAAAAAAAAAAAAAAAAAAAAAGCAACACACCACUGAUACAAACAUGUCAGAACUAUUCCAAUAACAGGUUUUACAACUGAAAAAGAAACUCAUGAAUGUGGCCUUCACCAUUGGUAUGCAUCUAUGUAUUUGAUAGGUGGAAAUUAGUUCUCUGAUAUUCUGGCCCCUUACUUGCUGGCUAAAGUACUUUACAACAAAACUGGUUUGCUCUCUUGGCCUGUCAGCUUGGCAAAUACACGUACUCUUCUACAGUAUCUAGUGCUCGGUCUAUUAGAUUAAUAUACAGACCAUUUAAAAAAAAAAAAUAUAUAUUUACCUGUCUGAUUGUAAUGCAAGAGAAACACGCUAUUAGACUGCUUUGAAACUUGCACUGCAUUGUAAUGCUGAAUGGAUUGCUUUCAAAACACAACAUCCUGCAUUCUUACUUGGGUUCCUCUUAAUCUGCAAACAGCACAAUACAUGCUUUGAUACAAAUGGACCUCUACUGUACUCUACUGCCCACCUGCUUCAGUCCAAGACUCCAGCCGUUUGUCAGAACCGGUGGGGACCCGGCUCUGGAUUCACGGGAAAUGGAACUGGAGAUCACAACUGGGCCUUUCUGACGACUCCUCGCAACUUUUAUGAUGAAAUCUGUGUACUUGUUCGUCCUGUUCAGGUGCUUCUCCGCCAGCUCGUGGGACGCCUCCACCCCUUUGGAAAGAAAGUAAUAAAAGCGUUUGUGGGAAAUAUCUCCUGUUACAUGUCAGUACAUGUAAAUCUCCAAAAUCAAAAUCCAGACAAAGGUGAAUUAUGAGAGCGAAAUGGCAUUAUAGUGGCUAAAUUACGGCAAAGGAAAGUGCAUUUGUGAAAUUAACAUGGUUGCCCAUUGUCGUGCAGUUUCAUAGUAUAUUACUGAAAAAGGCUGUGCGUUCAUUAAAAAAAAAAGAACUUAUUGAAUAUUGCUACACUCCCUGCACAGUCAGUCUGUCCUGAUUAGCAGUGUGUUCUUAUGCACCUGUUGAUUCGG